GAUGAGCGCUGGCGGCGUGCUUAACACAUGCAAGUCGAACGGGAUCCCAGGAGCUUGCUCCUGGGUGAGAGUGGCGAACGGGUGAGUAAUGCGUGACCGACCUGCCCCAUACACCGGAAUAGCUCCUGGAAACGGGUGGUAAUGCCGGAUGCUCCAGUUGGAUGCAUGUCCUUCUGGGAAAGAUUCUAUCGGUAUGGGAUGGGGUCGCGUCCUAUCAGCUUGAUGGCGGGGUAACGGCCCACCAUGGCUUCGACGGGUAGCCGGCCUGAGAGGGCGACCGGCCACAUUGGGACUGAGAUACGGCCCAGACUCCUACGGGAGGCAGCAGUGGGGAAUAUUGCACAAUGGGCGCAAGCCUGAUGCAGCGACGCCGCGUGCGGGAUGACGGCCUUCGGGUUGUAAACCGCUUUUGACUGGGAGCAAGCCCUUCGGG
rnacentral:rRNA from 1 species